rnacentral:rRNA from 1 species
GAUGAACGCUGGCGGUAUGCCUAACACAUGCAAGUCGUACGAGAGUUUUUAACUCUAGUGGCGGACGGGUGAGUAACACGUGAGAAUUUACCUUUAGGAGGGGGAUAACAAUUGGAAACGAAUGCUAAUACCCCAUAUGCUUUUGAGUGAAAUGGAUUUAUAUUUAUCCGCCUAGAGAGAAGCUCGCGGCUGAUUAGCUUGUUGGUAAGGUAAGAGCUUACCAAGGCGACGAUCAGUAUCUGGUUUGAGAGGACGAUCAGACACACUGGAACUGAGACACGGUCCAGACUCCUACGGGAGGCAGCAGUGGGGAAUUUUCCGCAAUGGGCGAAAGCCUGACGGAGCAAUACCGCGUGAGGGAAGACUGCCUAUGGGUUGUAAACCUCUUUUUUCAGGGAGGAAUAAAAUGACGUGUAC